rnacentral:lncRNA from 1 species
UUUUAAUACCCAAAGUCUUACAAGAGAGGGCCCCUUAAUGGGGCUGAAACUCAUCCAUUUUACAAACUUAAUCUCCAGCAUACCCUCUCUACAAAAGAAACCAUAGCAGCCCUCCCCCCAAGCUGUCCGUUCUUCACUCCUAAGGUACCCCCAAGUUGAAUCUUCUUCUCCUUUCAAAUUCAAGUUGGAGGAACACUCUUAGCCCUAAAGAAUCCACAAGAUAUAAGUGUUAUCUUCAAGGUAUGUUGCUGUAAUUCCAACCCCUUUUAAUUAUAUUUAACUAGGGGCAACCAUACUUGUUUUAGUUAAGAAUUCGCAGGCUAACGUGUUGAGGAUGGUAAGUUUGAUGUUGUGCCCAUUUUGUGGCUUAAUUUAGGGUCUGUUUUGGGUAUAAUUUGGUCAUGUAACAGCCUAGGUAUGGUAUUUUAUUUUCACCCUAAUUAAGAGCUAGUUUUAACAUUGUAAAUAUAAUAUUGGCUGAAAAUUACGGGACGGUGAUUGGAAGGGACGGUGAUUGGAAGUCGUGAGUUCAAAUUGUGUAACUUAUGACGGAUUGUUUUGGGACUCUUUUGUGGAAUGCUUUGUGGAAUUUUUUGUGAUGUAUUGUGAUGGAUAUAAGAUUGGAUAUUGAUGCAUAUAUAAUCGUUGGUAUGCUGGACAUAUUGGUCUUGUUGUUUGAUUUGAGAAAAAUAAAAAGAAUAAGGGGAACGUGUUGUCCAAAUUUUCGUAGACAAGUUAGUCAUUCAUUUGUUUUGAAUUCUAGCUUAAAAAUGAUCCCUUGUCAUUUUUUAUAGAUUGAAGUACUAACGGGUUGAACCGGCGCCGUGUGAUUAAGUAGACAACAAAGGUAUGUAGGUCAUUCGAUUCCGUAUUCUUUGGCAUGAAGUCACGCGUAAGAUACUCCUAUCGACAAAAUCAGCUCUAUUAAUUUUCCUCUCAAUGAAAGAGGGGACAUGGGCAAGUAAAUGGUUCAUGAGUAGUGUACUUGAUCCCGUAGUUGACACUCCCAGUUUUAUGUUUGAAAUCUAUUUUUAUGAUAAUCGAGCCACAAGAUAAAAGGCUAAUUCUUCAAAGUAUAGUCACAUAAGCAUUCUUGAUGUAAGGAUCACUUGUAGAGCUAUAGUGAGUUUUAUUGUUCCACAUAGGAGUUUUGAUCUUUUUUUCUAUGCUAUAUAAUAUGUGAUCACAAUCGUAAAUGUCAUUGGUAUCUCUUGUGCGCAUAAGAUUUUAAAGUACAAAGAUUACGUGAUCACUUAGUAAAGGUAAUAAAAGUCAAAUGUAUCAUUAAAAGAAGCUAUGUGUACAUGAUCAUAGUGACAUCAUCCCAGGGGCUACUAGCCUAGUUGGGUCAUGGAUGGUGACAUUAUGCCAGGGGCCAUUGUUUCCGAACUCGUGUUAAUAUAAUUGCACCCUCGCAGGGGCCAAAGAUCAUAGCUGGGGUCAUGAUUAUUGAUACACCAUCCCUGGGGAAAUGAGUCUAGCUCGGGUCAUAUUCAUGCCACAUUUAGUUGGCCGUUUACUUUGGAUUCUAUCGAGGCUAAUUCUAUACCGUUCAUGAGACAUAUGUACAUGCUUACAGAUAUGGUAUAGAUUGACUAAGGUACAGUUAAAGGUGGCAUCUUUUUAUAUGUACAUUAGUGCUUUUAUGAAUUCUUUCAUCUCCUAUAUGUUACUUUGUGCCUUACCUACUCAGUACAUUCUUCUGUACUGACUUCCCCAUUGGGGACGCUGCAUUUCAUGCUGCAGGCAGAGGUACUCCAGUUAGUAGACCUCCACUAGAAUAGAGUACAUGGCGUACUUGGCUAUCUUGGAUAAGCUCCAUAAUGUUUGGGGCCUUACCGAGUCAUGUAUAUAUGUUUUGGUAUUGUAUAAGGAUUAAGGGUAAGGCGGGACCCUGUCCUGACCUAAGUAUUUUUCAUAUAUAUAUAGUAGAGUCUUUGUAGACCUACGUUAAGGUAUGGCACAGUUACAACUUGACCCUUAAUAGGCAUAGCCUCGACGGUUAGUAUUAUAUGUACACGUUUUGGGCUUAUCUUAUGGGUCAUUAGAAUAAAGUAUUUCUGCUCUUACUUGGUAUUUAUAUGUUCAACUCAUGGUAUGCACAUGCUAAGCAUCGGUCAAGGACUGGUCCUCUCAGGACUAUAGAGGUUUCGAGUGCAUGUCCGUCCUUACGGGGUUUGAGGCGUGACAAAAGCCACGCCUUAAAAACGUAAAUACAAAUUCCUUUGGCAAAGCUUUUAAAGUUUUAGGUGUUGUCUGAUUAAUGUGGCCUUGGGCCAAAUUUGUUCUAUUCACAAACUAAAUUCACGUCCGACUGCUCACAAUAUUUUUUCCUUGAUUGACCAUCAUUUGAAUUGAUGACUGACUCGUAUUGUCUGAUUGAUUCUCACCUAAAUUUGGGAUUUUAUUAUGCUGGUAAAGGACUAUACAUCUAUAAAUUUAUUAAAGAUAUAACAUCAUAUGUUAUUGGUAGGAGCAAGCAACUAAUCAUGUAUGACUCAAAUAAUAGUCCGAAAGAAUGAAUAGGUAAAACAAGACGAUAAGAUCGUCAAAUGAUCCAAUAAAUAUUGAAUUAUUUGACAUGUGACGACUUAUUCCAAUUAUGAUUUGAUCAAUAAGUACCAGAAACAGAGUCGCCAGAUAUUUCACCAUGAGAUAUCGAGAUGAUAUUAACUAGAUUACUAACUAAAGUCAUUGAUCACGAUCUUGAUAUAUAGUCAAUGUAUAUGUCCAAAGUCAAAUUAUAGCAUUCCAUCACAAAAACUUGACCCGGUUGUGCACAAGUGGGAAAUGCACUAGCAGUGGAUAUCCAACCGUUGAUAUAUCAUGAGCGAUACACUACCAUUACUUUUAAGUUUUCUGUUGAGGUAUAUACUGCAAAGGUACUUAAAUUGGAUCAGUGAUCGAUUUCUAGGAUUCGUCAUAAAUCUAAUUAGUUAUUUUCAAUUACGUAUAUCUGUAACGACCCAACCGGUUAUUUUUAAGAAUUUGCAUUCAGUUCGGUGGUUUGAGGUCAGGAGUAGCUUCAUAUGGUGUAUUAUGACUUGUGUGUGUCGUCCAUUUUGGUUUUCGAGUGGUUCGGGAUUGAAUUGGAAGAAUGAUUCUCAACUAGGAAGUAUUAACUUGGCAGAGUUGACCAAGUUUGACUUUUGUGUAUUUGAUCUUGGAUCGAUAUUUUGAUGGCUCCGGAUGGUAAUUUUGGCUUGGCCAUAUGCCCAGAUUUGCAUUCGGAUAUUCCUAAAAGGUUUUGACUUUAUUUGGCAAAAGUUGGCAAUUUGUGUAUAAAAUUUGAGGUGAAUCCGAGUUGUUUAGACGUGUUCGGUGUAAGUUUGGAAUUUGAAAUUUUGAAAUAGUUCAUUAAGCUUGAAUUAAGGUGUGAUUCAUUAUUUUGAUAUUAUUAUAUGUGAUUUGAGACCUCGAGUAGGUCCGUGUUAUGUUUUGAUACUUGUUGGCAUGUACAGACGGGGUCCCGAGGGGCUCGUGUGAGUUUCACACGGGGUUCGGACUAUUUUGGGCCAUGUUGGAUAUUGCUGGUUUCUGUUGAUUUCUGAUGUUUCAGUUGUUCUCCGCAAUCGCGAAGAUGAAGCCGUGAUCGCAUAGUGUUCUGGGAGCUGGUCUUCUUUGGGCGAUAGAGGGAUCACGUUCGCGAUGGUUGAGGCUUUAAGCCUUCGUGUUCGCAUAUGGGACUACGCAUUCGCAUAGUAUUGAGCUAGGUUGGGCAUGUCAUGAUGGGUUCUUCUUCGCGUUCGCGCUGGAGUGUCCGCGUUCGCGAGGGUCUGUUCAAAUAUGAAUCACGAUCGCGAGCCUGGGGUCGUGGUCGCGUAAGGUUUCUUCGAGGCAGAUCAGUUUUGUGCUUCACGAUCGCGAAGCUAGUCCCAGGAUCGCGAAGGGUUUACCUGGACAGCGUUAUAAAGUAUUCUAUUUUCGAACUUUGAGUUAUUUUAUCACAUUUUGAGUUGGGGAGCUCAGAUUUGAGCGAUUUUGGAGAGGAAUUUUAUUAUACGAAUUGGGGUAAGUAUUUUCGACUUGGAUUUGAUUAUUUUACAUGAUUUCAUUUUUUAUUUUGUCAUUCAAGUGAUGAUUCUAAAAGAGAAAUUGGGGGUAGUUGUCAAAAUAAUUCUAAAGUGAAUAAUUGAGUUUUGAACAUCGAUUCGGAGUUGGAAUUGGAUGAAAUUAGUAUAGUUGGACUCGUAUUCGAAUGGGUUGUUAGAAUUUGUAAGUUUUGUUGGGUUCCUAGGUAUAGCCCUAGGUUGACUUUAAGUAUUUGAUUAAAUAUUUGACCUUUAUCAUUUGGGUUUGAUUCCUAAGGCGUUAUAUGAUGUUUUAAGUUGCUUUUGGCUAGUUUCGAGCCGUUCGGAGGUUGAUUCGCGCGUGAUGGCAUUUCUAGAGUAUUAUUUUAGCUUGCUUGAGAUAAGUAUAUUAUCUAAACUUUAUGGAGGCACUAGUUUCCUGAGUUUUUUGUGAUAGCUACGUGUUAUGGGUGGCGCACAUGUGUGGGGUUGAGCCCAUGUGCAUGCACCGUGGUAUUUUUCAUGCUCGAGGUAAAGUUUAGGCUAUGAUAUGACUUGGACUGACUGUUAAGCUUAAUGUUGCGAUGUUUCUUAUAUUUUUACCCCUGUUGUGAGCUAUUUGAGCUAUGUUUGUGGUUUUCUCCUGAUUGAACCUGAUAAAUUGAUACUUUCGUAAUGUAUUUGCCUGAUUAAGCUGUGAUAGCAUACUUUGCACAUGCAUACACCUUAGCAUGUCACUUACACCAGUCCAGAAGUAUGAAAUUUGAUAUUCAUUGAUCAUGCACAUGUAUUCUUAUAUAUCUGCUUUCUAUGUGAUAUGGAUUGGACUGGUAACAUGUGACCACGCCGGGCAGAUUGUGAAAUUUAUCAUGCCAGGACGUUUGUGAUAUUAAGAAUGUGAUCACGCCGGACGGAUUGAUAUUAUUGGCACGUGAGUGGUCCGUGCAACACGUGAGUUAUCCGUGCGGUUGAUAUAUUAUUAGCAAUAUAAGUUGUCCGUGCGGAUCUGAGAUAUUAUUAUUAACACGUGAGUUAUCCGUGCAGCACGUGAGUUGUCCGUGCGAUUGAUAUUAUUAGCACGUGAGUUGUCCGUGCAGCACGUGAGUUAUCUGUGUAGCAUUUGGAUAUGUAUUAAUUCCCCUAGGGUCACCCUCUCAUGUGCCUUCUUUGAUGGUGUACGCACGGAUUAUGAGAAACCGACGGGUUUCUCGUUGAUGUGAGCUCUGGGAGAGAUAAUUAUUGGUUUGGUUCGGUUACUGAGAUUCUGAUGUGGGUCUUAGAGUCGUAAUGUGAUUUCUAUUUGAAUCGGGUUACGCACUACAACAGAUUGAUAUCUGGUUAUUGCAUUUCAUCUUUACUUACAAUUUUCUUAUUGUUUACCUGAUUUAUUUGAUAGAUUGUUGACUGAGUAGAAUAUGUUAUGAAGAUUGUGAGCACCAAGGUAUUGUUAUCUGUGUUUUCAUGAUAUGAUCAUAUUUCUGUCUUGUACUUGUUGGAAUUUAUGAACUGGUACAGGUGAUUGGCGAGUAUCAUUUAUAAUUCUUGCUUCUAUGAACUGGUACAGGUGAUUAGUUAUGAUACUUACUGAGUAUAUGAGGUCGAUUGUACUCAUGCUGUACUUCUACACCUUGUGUGCAGAUCUUGGAGAUAAGAUUUUGUGGAUGACGGGAGCUGGAAAUGCAGAUGUACUUGCUUUUCGGAUAUAGCUACCACUUGUCCUUGGUAGUCUUAGAUUUGAAUCAUGUAUAUAUAUAUAUAUAUAUAUAUUUCAAACAUAUAUUAUAUUUAUUUUCAUACCAGCUUGUAAAUCUAAGUCUUAGUGGCUCAUGACUUGUACUACCAGUCUUUGGGAUAUUGUAUGAGAAUUUCAGUUAUUUUAUUUAUUGAAUUCAUAUUAUUUCAUUAGAG